rnacentral:lncRNA from 1 species
AGCUAUCAGAAUGAUUCGGGUGUCUAGGAAGAUCAGAACACUAAUAAGUGAAGCAGAAACUAACUGAAGCAAACCGAAAACCUCUCGUCAUAGGGUGCUUAUGCUAUGCCUAUAUCCCCCAACUUUCACAAAACAAAUAAAUUUGUCAUCUGCGAUUUCAAAGCAUUUACCGUUUUCUUUGGUUUCAGACGCUUCCUUGCAGACUCAUACAAAGCAUUCUCUGUCUGCAGCCUAUGUAUAAGCAUUCAUUAUUUGUGAAAGUUGAGGGAUAUAGGCGUAGAAUUAGCUAGAGGUUGUUAAGACAAAACGUGCAAUCCGACAUAUCAGAAUUCAGUGUGUACCAUGUAACUGUGGAAUCCAAUUUGUUGCCAAAACUGGGGAUUUGAGAACCAUUCCCAACAUGCCACAACAGGUUGGCGUUUGCUGCCUCAAUUUUUUCAAGAAAAGCAAAGACUACUACUCUA